CACGUAGGAGGCGAGCGUUGUCCGGAAUCAUUGGGCGUAAAGAGCGCGCAGGCGGCCCGGCAAGUCGGGUGUGAAAUCCCGGGGCUCAACCCCGGGACUGCAUUCGAUACUGCCGGGCUAGAGGUAGGUAGGGGAGAUCGGAAUUCCUGGUGUAGCGGUGAAAUGCGCAGAUAUCAGGAGGAACACCGGUGGCGAAGGCGGAUCUCUGGGCCUUACCCGACGCUCAGGCGCGAAAGCUAGGGGAGCGAACAGG
rnacentral:rRNA from 1 species